UACAGAGGGCUCAAGCGUUGUUCGGAUUCAUUGGGCGUAAAGGGUGCGUAGGUGGCGCCAUAAGUCAGGCGUGAAAUCUCGGGGCUCAACCCCGAAACUGCAUUUGAUACUGUGGUGCUCGAGUACUGGAGAGGAGAUUGGAAUUUACGGUGUAGCAGUGAAAUGCGUAGAUAUCGUAAGGAAGACCAGUGGCGAAGGCGAAUCUCUGGACAGUUACUGACACUGAGGCACGAAGGCCAGGGGAGCAAACGGG
rnacentral:rRNA from 1 species